CCUUAGAACUUAUAUCUCAAGGUGUGUGGCGCAUUUACGUUGUAGAUGUCUAUGGGUUCCAGAAAUCACUUAACACCAGGCGAGCUGUGAGCUCGUCCACACAUCUAGGCAAUAAAAAAGAAAUAAAUAAAAUAUUGUGAGGGUUAAAAACCUUUUCGCCGUGAACUAAAUCCGCAGAGUUCAACCUAAGCCUCCACGUUCAAAUGGUGACAGUUUAAAUUGUCAUGAAACUGCAUGAAUGUUUGAAACUCCGUUUUAUAAAGGACUUCUCGAGUUUUCGUAUCAACUAUGCAUAAAGCUUCAGUUUGGAAUGUUUAAUCGACAGAAAUAGAAUGACGACAAAUUGUGUGAAUGGCAAAUGAUUCGAAAUUAAAAUUGAAGUGGUGUAAUUGAAUUCACAGGCGGUAGAACGUAUUGUGUAUGCGCAUUAGUACCAUUUCUGCCGGAAAUCUAUAUAUAUAAAAAUGAAUUGCUGUUCGUUAGUCUCGCUAAAACUCGAGAACGGCUGGAUCGAUUUGGCUAAUUUUGGUCUUGAAUUAUUUGUGGAAGUCCAGAGAAGGUUUAAAAGUUUAUGCGACUGAAUAAAUCCCUACAAACGAUCGCGUACGGUGUAAAUAUGUCAUUCAAAGCGGAUAAGUUACAUACAUAUAUAUCGAUUUUAUUAUUUUAUCGAAUCGAUUUACCUAGUUUGUAUUUUGGUCUAUGGUUAAAGAUUCUUUGAUUAAUAAAAAUAAAAAGCCUUUUAUUCUAUGCAAA